GCUCAGAUUGAACGCUGGCGGCAUGCCUAACACAUGCAAGUCGAACGGCAGCGCGGGCUUCGGCCUGGUGGCGAGUGGCGAACGGGUGAGUAAUACAUCGGAACGUGCCCAGUAGUGGGGGAUAGCUCGGCGAAAGCCGAAUUAAUACCGCAUACGACCUAAGGGUGAAAGCGGGGGAUCGCAAGACCUCGCGCUAUUGGAGCGGCCGAUGGCAGAUUAGCUUGUUGGUGGGGUAAUGGCCUACCAAGGCGACGAUCUGUAGCUGGUCUGAGAGGACGACCAGCCACACUGGGACUGAGACACGGCCCAGACUCCUACGGGAGGCAGCAGUGGGGAAUUUUGGACAAUGGGGGAAACCCUGAUCCAGCAAUGCCGCGUGUGCGAAGAAGGCCUUCGGGUUGUAAAGCACUUUUGGCGGGAACGAAAAGGUCCGUGCUAAUACCAUGGACUCAUGACGGACCCGCAGAAUAA
rnacentral:rRNA from 1 species